CCUAGCCGUUCCAUCACUACCUUCACGAAAAUCUUAAUCUCUCGGACAUAAAGAAAAAGAGAGUGUGAGACAGAGAGCAACAAAAUCAGAUAGCAAUUAACAACACCCUAGAUUGCAAUGGACCGCUCCUUCAAACACACCCGUGACGACCGUGAUCGUGACCACCACAAACAUCGAUCAAGAGACGAUAAGCAUCGAGACUCCUCCGAUUCUCACCACCACCGAUCAGAGAGAGAAUCUCACCAACGCGAGCAUCACAAAUCAUCCAGGCGCGAUGAUACAAAGCGCGAAAGAUCUCACGAACGAGAAGAGAGUGUGGAUAGGCGAGAGAGAUCUCACGAUCACAAAUCGUCUUCCUCAUCGAGGCGUGAGGAGAGAGAGAGGUCAUAUGAUGCGAGAGAGGAGAGAGAAGGGAGUAGAGAGAGAAAACGCGAGAAGAGAGAAAGAGAGACUGUAGAUGAAGAUUAUUUGGAGAGAAAGAAAAGAAAGGAGAGAGGAGGUAGUGAAGAUAGGGCUGUUGUUGAGAAGGAGAAGAGGAGUAGAAGAAGAUUUGGUGAAAAAGUGAAAGAAGAGGAUAAUAGGACUGACAACAAUGAUAAUGGUAAUAGUUUUGAGAAUGUGAAAAGGGUGGAUUCGAGUGAGGCUGGAGUGAAGGAGGAAGUCAAUGAUGAGCCAAUUGGUGGCGGCAGGGGCAGCACCACAGAAAACGGUGGUGUUAAGACUACAAAUGGUGCUUCUCUGGAAUCAUUCACUAAGACUCCAAGCAAUCAGCCUGAGACCUCUGUGGCACCUGUUCACCCCCUUCCUACCAAGGUAUCUUCAAUUUCAAACACAAAUGAAAAUAAGGGAGUUAGUAUUGCCAGAUCUCAUGCGGUUCCUGGAAAAUCUAGUACAGAUGGGACAUCUUCAGCUGCUGGGAAAAGUGGAAAUCUAUCACUUGAUGCAUUAGCAAAAGCUAAGAAAGCCUUGCAAAUGCAGAAGGAACUGUCAGAGAAGCUGAAGAAGCUACCCCUGUCGAGCAAGGGUAAUAACACAAGUUCAGGUGGUAGCUCACAAAGGGUAUUGCCAUCAGCAACCACCACUACUGCUGUUUCGACUGGGGCAGUUUCUAGUUCAUCCUCCUUAUCUACAAGCACUCUGGUGUCUAUAAAGACACCUUCAACUGGUGUGGCACCUCUGCCCGAUAUUACUAGCAUACCCAAUUAUGAAGCUGUUAAGCGUGCCCAGGAACUUGCUGCUAAAAUGGGAUUUCGCCAGGACCCUGAGUUUGCUCCUCUUAUAAACUUAUUCCCUGGCCAGUUGCCAGCAGAAGUCUCUGUGCCACAGAAGCCUACUAAGACCCCUGUUCUUCGUGUGGAUGCACUUGGUAGGGAAAUAGAUGAACAUGGAAAUGUGGUGAAUGUGACUAAACCAAGCAACCUUAGCACCUUAAAGGUCAACAUCAACAAGCAGAAAAAGGAAGCAUUCCAGAUUCUUAAACCUGAAUUAGAUGUGGAUCCUGAAUCGAACCCUUAUUAUGAUGUGAAAAUGGGAAUUAAUAAGAAUAAGUUCUUGAGACCCAAACGAAUGACCUUCCAGUUUGUAGAGGAAGGCAAGUGGUUAAAAGAAGCUGAAAUAAUGAAACUGAGGAAUCAAUUUGGAGAAGAAAGAGAAAAGGAUAUGAAGGCAAGGCAAGCAUUACAUGCAAAGGCGAAGGCAGCUCCGGAUAUAAAUCCUAAUUUGAUAGAGGUAUCAGAGCGAGUUAUAACCAAAGCGAAGCCUAAGGAUCCGAUUCCCGAUGUAGAGUGGUGGGAUGCUCCUUUACUGACUGGUGGGACUUAUGGUGAAAAUGAUGAUGUUCUUAUCACUGAGCAUAGAUUGAAAAGGGAUAAAAUUACUAUCUAUGUGCAACACCCACGUCCUAUUGAGCCCCCGGCUGAGCCAGCUCCUCCACCGCCUCAACCUUUGAAACUAACUAAAAAGGAGCAGAAGAAGCUCAGAACACAGCGUCGACUUGCUCGGGAAAAGGAUAGACAGGAGAUGAUUAGACAAGGCUUGAUUGAACCUCCAAAACCAAAGGUUAAGAUGAGCAAUUUAAUGAAAGUUCUUGGCUCAGAAGCAACACAAGAUCCCACCAGACUUGAAAAGCAAAUUCGUACUGCAGCUGCUGAACGUGAACAAGCUCAUAUUGAUCGAAAUACUGCACGUAAGCUCACUCCUGCUGAGCGCCGUGAAAAGAAGGAGAGAAAGCUCUUUGAUGACCCGAACACCAUGGAAACUAAUGUUUCUAUUUACAGAAUCAACAACCUCUCAGACAAGAAAACUCGCUUCAAAGUUGAUGUCAAUGCUCACGAGAACCGCUUGACUGGGUGCACGGUGAUUACAGAGGGAAUUUGUGUGGUGGUGGUUGAAGGGGGAAGCAAAUCCAUCAAAAGGUAUGGGAAGCUAAUGCUUAGGCGUAUAAACUGGGCUGAAGCUGUUAAUGAGGAUGAAGGAGAUGACAAUGAGGAGAAACCUGUGAACAAAUGCAUGCUGGUGUGGCAAGGUAGUGUUGCCAAACCUAGCUUCCACAGGUUUUCUUUACAUGACUGUGUGACUGAAGCUGCAGCCCGAAAAUAUUUAGCUGAUGCUGGUGUUGCCCACUAUUGGGAUCUUGCUGUCAAUUUCUCUGACGAUCAAAUGUGAGAGGCUGCUUUGAUGAAAGCAUCACCAGCGCAGCUUGCUUGGUUCAAAGCUACUGUGAUUAAUUAGAGGGAGGAAAUGGCUGCUUAAGGUCACGAUCUGGACCUGAAAAAAUGCUCUACUAAAGUAAAUGGUACCUGGUGAAUCCUAUUGAUAAAAGGCCAAGUCCUAUUUGUUGAAAUGGCUCUUGGCAGUUCAUGACAGAUUACCCCUUGCUUCGAUAAGACGGGUAACAAAACAACCUGCUGGCGGCCUUCCUCCUCAUGAAGGUUGACAUAAGAGUUACAUUCUGACAAACAGUUGAGAAAUGAGUCCUAUGCCCUUGCCCUCACACACGCCGACUGUUUAUGCCCAUGUUCUAUUUUGACCAGGGAGAUUUUUCACAGCUUUAAUUGCAGGGGCAGUAUAGGCAUGGUGGUGGGCACUUCAUGGCUAACAAGACAACUCUUCUGUAAGAAUUGUUUAUCAUUUAAUUUGAGUUGAGGAAAUUGUCCAUUGUACUUGCGAUAGACCAUGAUCAUGAGUGGGUUGUGUGUGUGUGUGUGUGUGUGUGUCUGCGCGUUCAUACCACAUCUUUCCAUUUUGUUUUCUAUUUGGUUUCCUUUUUUCUUAAAUUGGUUGAACUAAAUAACUUUUUAAAUAUUCUACAAGUUCCAUUCGUUGAAUUAAA